GAUCGGCAUCGCCCUCGCCGCCGCGAUCGGCCUCGUACUGCUGCUGGAGCUGCAGCUGCCGGUAGAACUCCUCGUUGCCGUCCUCUCCGCUCAUCCUGGCCCCGGGCCUCGGCGCUGAGGGGGAAGGCAGACGGCCACUCCGGGCCUACGCUCCCGCGCUGCCGACUGAGGCACUGCUCGCCCCGCCCCCUCAGAGCGGCGGGGCCGGGAGCGCGCGAGGACCCGCGGGCACGCGCAGGCAACAGCGGCGAGCGCGCACCGCCUCCUCAGCCCCGCGCCGCCGGUGACCGACCCCGGACCUUGCAACGCGCAGGAGCGGAAGUAGCACCCAGCCCGCGCAAGGAGCUCCUUCCUUCAUCUCAGCCAAUGAGACGCGGGAUGGCAGAUCACGUGGAGAUCGCGGAGCCAAUGGGAAGGCAGCGUGAUCUUACCCUGCUCGGAACGGCGGGCGCGCACGGAAGAGAUUCUACACGAAGGAUGGGUGGAGCUGUGCAGCACCCAACUGCGUCCCGUUCUUUUGGAACUGAAGGAAAGGCAAUUGGAUACCUUUAUCAUGCACAUGAAUACCCAUUACAGGUAGGAAUUUCAGUUGUUCUCAAUUCCACAUUCCAUCUGAAGGUACAGGGCAAUGCUGUCAAACCUGUAAGCAGACAUCUAAUCAUCUUUAAGAGCUCUAAAUCCCAGGUGGCAGUGACAGUGCAGCUGAAAAACAAAGACAUACAGUUGACAGGAACACCUUGGAAAACCAAGUCCAAUUUCUUAAUGCAGAAGUUGAUCAAAAUCCAUUUUGAAGAUGUAAGGAAAGAUACUGCUUGAGGAACCUAACCAUCUGUUCCAGAGACAGCCAGUUAAUGGGCUCAAAAAUAUGACUUGAAACUCAAUAUUCUGGAUAUUGGGUUCUGAGGAUAGAUGAAGGGAGCAGAGGGAAGAUUGGAUAAUGUACAACGUAAUGCAAGAGGACAGACCAUGAGGAGUGAUAAUGAUGAAUAAAAGAAAGUUGUCAGUCUCUGUACCAUGAUGGU